rnacentral:rRNA from 1 species
CCUACGGGUGGCAGCAGUGGGGAAUAUUGCACAAUGGGGGGAACCCUGAUGCAGCAACGCCGCGUGAGUGAAGAAGUAUUUCGGUAUGUAAAGUCCUGUUAUCAGGGACGAAGGAGACGACACCUGCCCAAGAAGCCGCGGCUAAAUACGUGCCAGCAGCCGCGGUAAUACGGAGGGGGGAAGAGUUAUCCGGAUGUACUGGGUGGAAGGGGAGCGUAGUAGGCACUGCAAGUCAGAAGUGAAAGCCACGGGCCCAACCACGGGCGGGCUGUGGAAAAUGCGGGGCUGGAGUGCAGGAGAGGUAGGCGGAAUUCCUAGUGUAGCGGUGAAAUGCGUAGAUAUUAGGAGGAACACCGGUGGCGAAGGCGGUUUACUGGACUGUAACUGACGUUGAGGCUCGAAGGCGUGGGGAGCAAACAGGAUUAGAUACCCCGGUAGUC